AGCCCUGUAGUUCAACGGAUAGAACCGGCGCGUCCUAAGCGCUAAAUGGCAGUUCAAUUCUGCCCAGGGCUA
rnacentral:tRNA from 1 species